AGACAGGACAAGAAGGAAGUCUUUGAGUAUGCUCAGCGCGUGCCAUCAUGGGGCCAUGUUCUUCCCCUUUGCUCUUGGAGAAUAGACAAAGCUACCCAGCCCAGCCACAGCCUCAUAAUCUUGUUCUACCUCCCUCUCCAGCCUCAACUAUUUCCAGGCUCCAGCUCAAGUCAUACAUCAGGACCUGCAACCGGUGAUUGAACUACCAGUUUCUGAAGGCCACCCAUUCACACCUAUUUCCCGCUACUCCAGGCUAUCUGCAGCUGGAGGAGGCCGUGAGUCACCGUUUUGAGCCUAGAGAUGUAAACAGAAGUUGCUGGGAAGAGCUUCUAGGAAGCCUCUGUAAGAUGAUUAUCUCAGUUGGGUCUGUCUUUUUGCUUUGUCCAUCCCUUUUUUAACUUUGGAGUGUGCGUGUGAUACAGGAGGUGAAGCAGUCAUUUUGUGACUAUGAGGAGAUAAAGCCACAUGGGUAAGUUGGCAGAGCAGGACACUGGGAGAAGCAUGUGCUUCUGUUGGCAAUGAGGGAUCAUCAUACUAUUCCUAAACAGUCUAAGUCCUGAGGUCUCGUGUGUGUUCUUACUUGUUCAUUACUCUACUUUUUCAGGUUGUAUAUUACUUACAGUUCAAUACAAUCUAAACCUUAACCAGUCAUUCUCCUAGUUAGACUGUGAGCUCCUAGAGGGAAGUUUGGCAUGUGAUAUGUUUCUUAUGGUCCCUGCAGUAUCUAGCACGUGCUAGUAGGGAUCAGGUAUGCAAUACUCAUCUAUUGAUUGAUUUGGGAUACAGUGAGUUGAGGUAAGAGAGAAACAGAAGUCAACUCCAACACGUCAAAGAAUAAAGUUUGCUGUUGGUCUCAACAGCCCCAGGGCAUCUUUACUGCAGUGUGAUCUCUCUCUCCUAUCCAGUGAGGCUCCAAAAUAUGGCUUUAAUUAUCCUUCCUAAGUUUUACAAAAUUCACUGAGCUUUUGUCUUUAAAACAGUAUUCCUUCCCCAUCUCUGGUGUGAAAAAAAAAUUACGACCAGAGUUUUACAUCUUUUUCUUUCCGAUAUUUCCAGAAAAGUAUGCCCUAGUCUAAUUUGCAGGUGGAAAUUGAAAAUGUAUCUCGCUGACCUCAAGGGAUGAUAUUCAGGAGCUUCAGGGAAUCUUCAGCUAAUGGGAGAAGCACAAGCAGAUUAAUGGAUCCCAAAGACAAAAUGCCUAUCCUAGCUCAAAUGACAUCUCGUGGAUCUUGAAAAGUGGAGCUUUCUGUGCCCAUCUUCAGAAAGAGACAUCAGACAAUCUUAACAUUUCUGCAGCUGAACAUGGGAUGAGAAGAGGGCAAUCUUCCAGUGGGUCCACCACAUUUUCUUUCCAAUUGAGCCAAUUCAUGGUCUCUUCUGGCAACUGCAAGGCCAGAUGUGAAUUUACCACUUUAUUGAGUGAAGCGGUCUGGGCAUUGUGAGACUCACAUAUGCACCCAGAGGGGAAGGGACCCUCACUCUGGGAAUGGAAAUCAAUUCAUAAUUGUACCCAGACAAAUGGGGCACACACUUCAGAUCUAUUACAGGAUUUAGUCGGAAUCAGAAGAACAAAGGCAUAAAGUAGAAACACAUUCAUAUGCCAGGCACAGGUAGGGGCUGGGGAGGGUAGAAAGUCCAGGGUUCCUGGCCGGCGAAGAAGGGCUCUGCUCAGCAUCUCAUGCUGGAGUGCAAGAGUAUAAAAUAAGGUAACUAAGGACAUGAAGCUUGGCCGCCUGCACCAUUUGAAAAAAGAAAAAUCAAACUGUGUUUUAUGAGUUUUUCUGGCUGAGUGGGCUGAUGGUAAAAGUGAUUGCAUAAGUGAAUAAAUUGAAAUAUGUAUCCUGGUUGUGUCAAAAGCAAAAAUAAUUAUUUUGUUCUUGGUGAGAUAUAGUGUUUAACUGCCAACACAUCAACCCAAAUAAAAAGGAAAUCUGCCUUUAGAUCUAGUAAUACAUUUAUUAACAAAUGAUGUAUCUGAAUUAUCCAUCGUUUUGAUCCACAUUUUGCAGAAAGGCA
rnacentral:lncRNA from 10 species